UCUAUGACGAUAUAAUGCACAGGGGUGGAUGCAAUAAUUCCACUGUGGGGAGGGGCAAUGCCUCAGGGAUCCUGGUGCGUGGGGCAUCUCCACCACACAGGGCAGCCCGCCUCAGGACUGAUGACUGCUUACCUGCAUCUUCUACACUGGUGGUCAGACAUUGGAAUAAGAGCUUUUCAUGCAGUAUCUCAUUUUUCCUGACAACAAGCCUAUGAAGGAAGAACUUAACCAUUUCAUACAUGAAGAAAUUGAGUCCCCAGGGUUGACAUUCUCCAAAGGACACUGGGAAGAGCCAGGAAUAAGAAAGCUGAUGGUGAGAUCUCUAGAGAACGUAAAGAGUCCUGAUCCUCAGCAGUUUCCAAAGCGUAGGACGCAAUGAAAGCAUCAUGACUUCGAAAAGAGCAGAGGGCUGAGGAUCCAGAAAGGAGACAUGAGUACUGGUGAAAAGUCCUCUGUGGAUGCAUCUGAAUGUCCUUCUCAUUGAACCUCUCACUCUCCCCACUCAACAGCUGGAGGGCCACUGAUGUGUUGGAGAAAAGAAUAAAUAAAGGAGAGAAGGUACA